UACGGGAGGCAGCAGUGGGGAAUAUUGCACAAUGGGCGCAAGCCUGAUGCAGCCAUGCCGCGUGUAUGAAGAAGGCCUUCGGGUUGUAAAGUACUUUCAGUCGUGAGGAAGGUGUUAAGGUUAAUAACCUUAGCAAUUGACGUUAGCGACAGAAGAAGCACCGGCUAACUCCGUGCCAGCAGCCGCGGUAAUACGGAGGGUGCGAGCGUUAAUCGGAAUUACUGGGCGUAAAGGGCACGCAGGCGGUUAAUUAAGUUGGAUGUGAAAUCCCCGGGCUUAACCUGGGAAUGGCAUUCAAGACUGGUUAGCUAGAGUCUUGUAGAGGGGGUAGAAUUCCAUGUGUAGCGGUGAAAUGCGUAGAGAUGUGAGGAAUACCGGUGGCGAAGGCGGCCCCUGGGACAAAGACUGACGCUCAUGUGCGAAAGCGUGGGGAGCAAACAGGGAUUAGAUACC
rnacentral:rRNA from 1 species